UACGGAGGAUGCGAGCGUUAUCCGGAUUUAUUGGGUUUAAAGGGUGCGUAGGCGGAUUUUUAAGUCAGCGGUAAAAUGUCCGGGCUCAACCCGGGCCGGCCGUUGAAACUGGGGAUCUUGAGUGGGCGAGAAGUAUGCGGAAUGCGUGGUGUAGCGGUAAAAUGCAUAGAUAUCACGCAGAACUCCGAUUGCGAAGGCAGCAUACCGGCGCCCGACUGACGCUGAGGCACGAAAGCGUGGGGAUCGAACAGG
rnacentral:rRNA from 1 species